rnacentral:rRNA from 1 species
UACGUAGGGGGCGAGCGUUAUCCGGAAUCAUUGGGCGUAAAGGGUGCGUAGGCGGCUGCCCAAGCAGGGGGUAUAAGGCCAUGGCUCAACCAUGGACCGCCCCCUGAACUGGGCGGCUUGAGUGCAGGAGAGGAAAGCGGAAUUCCUAGUGUAGCGGUGAAAUGCGUAGAUAUUAGGAGGAACACCAGUGGCGAAGGCGGCUUUCUGGACUGCAACUGACGCUGAGGCACGAAAGCGUGGGGAGCAAACAGG